rnacentral:rRNA from 1 species
AUUGAACGCUGGCGGUAUGCUUAACACAUGCAAGUCGAACGGUAGCAGGCCUUCGGGCGCUGACGAGUGGCGGACGGGUGAGUAACGCGUAGGAAUCUGCCUCAUAGUGGGGGACAACGUGGGGAAACCCACGCUAAUACCGCAUACGCCUACGGGGAAAGGACGGGGAGUCGUAAGACCUCGCGCUAUGAGAUGAGCCUGCGUUAGAUUAGCUAGUUGGUAGGGUAAAGGCCUACCAAGGCGACGAUCUAUAGCUGGUCUGAGAGGACGAUCAGCCACACUGGGACUGAGACACGGCCCAGACACCUACGGGUGGCUG